rnacentral:rRNA from 1 species
GGGGAAUAUUGCACAAUGGACGAAAGUCUGACCGAGCAACGCCGCGUGAGUGAAGAAGGUUUUCGGAUCGUAAAACUCUGUUGUUAGAGAAGAACAAGGAUGAGAAGAGAAUGUUCAUCCCUUGACGGUAUCUAACCAGAAAGCCACGGCUAACUACGUGCCAGCAGCCGCGGUAAUACGUAGGUGGCAAGCGUUGUCCGGAUUUAUUGGGCGUAAAGCGAGCGCAGGCGGUUCUUUAAGUCUGAUGUGAAAGCCCCCGGCUUAACCGGGGAGGGUCAUUGGAAACUGGGGAACUUGAGUGCAGAAGAGGAGAGUGGAAUUCCAUGUGUAGCGGUGAAAUGCGUAGAUAUAUGGAGGAACACCAGUGGCGAAGGCGGCUCUCUGGUCUGUAACUGACGCUGAGGCUCGAAAGCGUGGGGAGCAAAC